rnacentral:misc_RNA from 1 species
UUUCUGUUUUUGGAUAAUGGAUGAAAUCCAUGUGGCCUACCUUGUCAUCUAGUAUAACACUAUGUUUUAACCGCAUUAUAGAUCUUGAUUGCUUAUGGACUUCACUUAGCUUUGAGACAUUAAUGAAUCCUUGAACAAAUUUCAAUAUGUUGAUUUGUAGUAGCAUAAAUUAUUGAUGUAGACAUUUGGCACCUUAAAUGGAAAUUACGUUGAAUUGAUUGCUUAGAUUAUUUACUAUGUUUAGG